GAUCGGUCGAUUGUGCACCUCUUGCGAGGCCCCAACCUACGUUCACUUUCAUUACGCGUAUGGGUUUUACACCCAAACACUCGCAUAGACGUUAGACUCCUUGGUCCGUGUUUCAAGACGGGCGGCAUAUAACCAUUAUGCCAGCAUCCUUGACUUACGUCGCAGUCCUCAGUCCCAGCUGGCAGUAUUCCCACAGGCUAUAAUACUUACCGAGGCAAGCUACAUUCCUAUGGAUUUAUCCUGCCACCAAAACUGAUGCUGGCCCAGUGAAAUGCGAGAUUCCCCUACCCACAAGGAGCAGAGGGCACAAAACACCAUGUCUGAUCAAAUGCCCUUCCCUUUCAACAAUUUCACGUACUUUUUCACUCUCUUUUCAAAGUUCUUUUCAUCUUUCCAUCACUGUACUUGUUCGCUAUCGGUCUCUCGCCAAUAUUUAGCUUUAGAUGGAAUUUACCACCCACUUAGAGCUGCAUUCCCAAACAACUCGACUCUUCGAAGGCACUUUACAAAGAACCGCACUCCUCGCCACACGGGAUUCUCACCCUCUAUGACGUCCUGUUCCAAGGAACAUAGACAAGGAACGGCCCCAAAGUUGCCCUCUCCAAAUUACAACUC
rnacentral:rRNA from 1 species